CGGAAAACGAUCUUUUGUCUCUUGCACAUUUGCACACCACACAUCUCGUCAAUAUUUGAGAAAUAUGUUAUCUACUAUGAGCUUUAACACGUUAUUUGUCUGCUGUUGAAUGUCAAUAACGAAAGCGAAAGAAAGGCGUGAGAAAAGUGACAAAAAGCGGUAUAUUUUUUUCAUUCCGAUUGCAGAUGAACUGACUCAAGCUCAGAUCCAAUCUCUGAUGACUACAAUUUUAAUAAUGCUUCAAUUACUCGGUGCAUUUUCAUGUUUUAAAGUGUGGGCUUGAUGUUGGAUGACUUGGAUCUACAGGCUUUGGCCAAAUGCCCCACCUUUCCACAUUUGAAACAUUUUCUUUCUACAAAACAAGGAGAUUUAGUGACAUCAAAUAUAGUGGAUAAUGGUGAAUGAAGAUAAAUAAACUGGAAAGAAGAACAUACAUUUGCGACACUCUCUCGCUUUGUGGCCUUUAAGGCCACAAUUAUAACAACUUCCUAAACGAGAAGGGUAUUAAUAUUAUGAAAUAUUAAAGUUAUGUUUGGUGCUUUAGGAAUCCACAAAUGAAAACAACCUGAUCAUAUAGCAAAAUGUUAAUACCUUUAAAAUCAUUUCUUAUCUUCUUGUCUUAUAUAAAGGAGAAAAGAUAGCUGUUCUAUAUGUCAAGUCAUUUUUUAUAGCAAUGUAUUAAACGAAAAGAAAAGGCAUACCUUCAGUGCAUUGAAAUGCUUUGUGACCUUUUAGGCCGCAAUGAUGACAUUUCCCUAAAUGAAUAAAAGUUGUUUAAAACAUUUAGUUGGUAUAUGUAUAGCUGGCCAUGUUUGCCAGUUUAAUCAAGUCAUCUUCAGUAUAGUAUAUAAAAAGCAAUGACUAUGUUAAAAUAAAAAAAAAAAUUA